rnacentral:rRNA from 1 species
AACGAACGCUGGCGGCAUGCCUAACACAUGCAAGUCGAACGAGACCUUCGGGUCUAGCGGCGCACGGGUGCGUAACGCGUGGGAACCUGCCCUUAGGUUCGGAAUAACUCCCCGAAAGGGGUGCUAAUACCGGAUAAUGUCUUCGGACCAAAGAUUUAUCGCCCGGGGUUGGGCCCGCGUUUGAUUAGCUAGUUGGUAGGGUAAAAGCCUACCAAGGCGACGAUCAGUAGCUGGUCUGAGAGGAUGAUCAGCCACACUGGGACUGAGACACGGCCCAGACUCCUACGGGAGGCAGCAGUGGGGAAUAUUGGACAAUGGGCGAAAGCCUGAUCCAGCAAUGCCGCGUGAGUGAUGAAGGCCUUAGGGUUGUAAAGCUCUGUUACCCGGGAUGAUAAUGACAGUACCGGGAGAAUAAGCUCCGGCUAACUCCGUG